rnacentral:rRNA from 1 species
UACGAAGGGGGCUAGCGUUGCUCGGAAUUACUGGGCGUAAAGAGUGUGUAGGCGGUGCUCUAAGUUCGGUGUGAAAUCUCCCGGCUUAACUGGGAGGGUGCGCCGGAAACUGGAGUGCUUGAGCGCGGGAGAGGAAAGCGGAAUUCCUGGUGUAGCGGUGAAAUGCGUAGAUAUCAGGAGGAACACCUGUGGUGUAGACGGCUUUCUGGACCGUAGCUGACGCUGAGACACGAAAGCGUGGGUAGCAAACAGG